rnacentral:rRNA from 1 species
CGCUGGCGGCGUGCCUCAGACAUGCAAGUCGAACGAUUAAAGCUCUCUUCGGAGAGUGCAUAGAGUGGCGCACGGGUGAGUAACACGUAAGUAAUCUACCUUCGAGUGGGGAAUAACAUCGGGAAACCGAUGCUAAUACCGCAUAAUGCAGCGGCAUCGCAAGAUGACAGUUGUUAAAGAUUUAUCGCUUGAAGAGGAGCUUGCGGCAGAUUAGCUAGUUGGUAAGGUAAUGGCUUACCAAGGCUACGAUCUGUAACCGGUCUAAGAGGACGGUCGGUCACACUGACACUGAAUAACGGGUCAGACUCCUNCGGGAGGCAGCAGUCGGGAAUUUUGGGCAAUGGGCGAAAGCCUGACCCAGCAACGCCGCGUGAAGGAUGAAGUAUUUCGGUAUGUAAACUUCGAAAGAAUAGGAAGAAUAAAUGACGGUACUAUUUAUAAGGUCCGGCUAACUACGUGCCAGCAGCCGCGGUAAUACGUAGGGACCAAGCGUUGUUCGGAUUUACUGGGCGUAAAGGGCGCGUAGGCGGCAAUUCAAGUCAUCUGUGAAAUCUCCGGGCUUAACUCGGAACGGUCAGAUGAUACUG